rnacentral:rRNA from 1 species
GACGAACCGUGCGAACGUUGUUCGGAAUCACUGGGCUUAAAGGGCGCGUAGGCGGCAUUUCAAGUCCGGGGUGAAAGCCCCCAGCUUAACUGGGGAAGUGCCUUGGAUACUGGAGUGCUAGAGGGAGGUAGGGGUCGAGGGAACUUCUGGUGGAGCGGUGAAAUGCGUUGAUAUCAGAAGGAACGCCGGUGGCGAAAGCGCUCGACUGGACCUCUGCUGACGCUGAGGCGCGAAAGCUAGGGGAGCAAACGGG